AUACUUGAUGAAAAUUUCCACAGUUCUCUGGCGAUGAUUCUACGAAUAUGUGCUAAGAACAUCAUGCAUCACCAUCUGAGA
rnacentral:snoRNA from 1 species